rnacentral:rRNA from 1 species
GGGUUGUGAGGUUAAGCGACUAAGCGUACACGGUGGAUGCCCUGGCAGUCAGAGGCGAUGAAGGACGUGCUAAUCUGCGAAAAGCGUCGGUAAGGUGAUAUGAACCGUUAUAACCGGCGAUGUCCGAAUGGGGAAACCCAGUGCAAUUCGUUGCACUAUCGUUAACUGAAUACAUAGGUUAACGAGGCGAACCGGGGGAACUGAAACAUCUAAGUACCCCGAGGAAAAGAAAUCAACCGAGAUUCCCCCAGUAGCGGCGAGCGAACGGGGAGCAGCCCAGAGUCUGAAUCAGCUUGUGUGUUAGUGGAACGGUCUGGAAAGUCCGACGGUACAGGGUGAUAGUCCCGUACACCAAAAUGCACAGGCUGUGAACUCGAAGAGUAGGGCGGGACACGUGGUAUCCUGUCUGAAUAUGGGGGGACCAUCCUCCAAGGCUAAAUACUCCUGACUGACCGAUAGUGAACCAGUACCGUGAGGGAAAGGCGAAAAGAACCCCGGCGAGGGGAGUGAAAAAGAACCUGAAACCGUGUACGUACAAGCAGUGGGAGCACCUUCGGGUGUGACUGCGUACCUUUUGUAUAAUGGGUCAGCGACUUAUAUUCUGUAGCAAGGUUAACCGUAUAGGGGAGCCGCAGGGAAACCGAGUCUUAACUGGGCGUUAAGUUGCAGGGUAUAGACCCGAAACCCGGUGAUCUAGCCAUGGGCAGGUUGAAGGUUGGGUAACACUAACUGGAGGACCGAACCGA